GUAUACAUAUGCUUUUUUACUGUUUGUGUAGUACGUGGAAAUCUCAUUUUCUUCUUACAAUACUCACCUUGUUUCUAGCGUCAAGAAUCUAAGUUAUGGAAAAGCAGAGUCCAAUCCAUCCUGUUUUGUGCUAUCCAAACAACAAAAAUCAUCACAUCAAAGGAAAACCCUCCAAUCCAUCUUGUUUUGUGCAGCUUAGGAAUCGUGAGAUUGGCCAAGAUGAUGCUAUCAAUGCCAUCUCUCCCGCAUUGGGCUGAAGGACCCUGAUAGACCCAUUGCAACAAUGCUAUUCUGUGGCCCAACUGGAGUUUGGAAGACUGAAGGACCCAGGGACAAAGUCAUCUUUUUGUACAUUGGCCAGAACAAGGUGUUGACGAUGAAGAAAAGAAAAGUUUCUUUGAUCAGGUAACUCGGCUUAAUUCAAGCUAUCUAGGUGGUUUGGCAUCAUAUAUUCGAAAUGCUAGGAAUCUAUUAGCAAAUUCAAAAGCAGGGAAAAAUCCAUUUAAUGGCUUUACUCCUUUGGCAAGUGAAUCCAUUAAAUUUGUUUUGCAAUCUGUUUUUCUUGUACAUUUCUGCCAGAAAUUUGUCUUCAAUUUCACAUCUUUUUUUUUUUUAAUGAGAAAGAUUUGCUCUCUGGCUACGGUCACACAGUGGGUACUCAUCUUUAGCUACGGAUUUUAUCCGUAGCUUUUGACCACUUUUCUGGUCAUGUAGCAAAAGCUGACGAUUUAGCGGUGUCCAGCACAACUGUCAAUAAAGGUCCUGGCCGUCGGUAAAGCCUUUACCGA